GUGGGAUCUUCCCGGACCGGGGCACGAACCCGUGUCCCCUGCAUCGGCAGGCAGACUCUCAACCACUGCUCCACCAGGGAAGCCCUAAAGAUGUAUAUUUAUCAUCAGAAUGGCCAUUAUCAAAAAAUCUAGAAACAAUAAAUGCUAGAAAGGGUGUUGUGAAAAAGGAACCCUCCUGCAAUGUUGGUGGGAAUGUAAAUUGAUACAACCACUAUGGAGAACAGUAUGGAGAAUCCUUAAAAAACUAAAAAUAGAAUAUACCCUGAGAAAACCAUAAUUCAAAAAGAGACAUGUACCACAAUGUUCAUUGCAGCACAAUUUACAAUAGCCAGAACAUGGAACCAACCUAAAUGUCCAUAGACAGAUGAAUGGAUAAAGAAGGUGUGGCACAUAUAUACAAUGGAAUAUUAGCCAUAAAAAGAAACAAAAUAGAGUUAUUUGUAGUGAGGUGGAUGGACCUAGAGUCUGUCAUACAGAGUGAAGUAAGUCAGAAAGAGAAAAAAAAUACCGUAUGCUAACACAUGUAUAUGGUAUCUUAAAAAAUGGUACUGAUCAACCUAGUGGCAGGGCAGGAAUAUAGACAUAGAGAAUGGACUUGAGGACACGGGGUGGGAGGGGGAAGCUGGGGCAAAGUGAGAGUAGCAUUGACAUAUAUACACUACCAAAUGUAAAAUAGCUAGUGGGAAGCAGCAGCAUAGCACAGGGAGAUCAGCUCGGUGCUUUGCAAUGACUUAGAGAUGUGGGAUAGGGUGGGUGGGAGGGAGGCUCAAGAGGGAGGGGAUAUAGGGAUAUAUGUAUGCAUAUAGCUGAUUCACUUUGUUGUACAACAGAAACUAACACAGUAUUGUGAAGCAAUUGAACUCCAAUAAAGAUCUAUUUUAAUAAAGAUGUAUAGGGCUUCCCUGGUGGCGCAGUGGUUGAGAAUCCACCAUAUAUAUAUAUAUACAUCUUUAAGAACACUUUUAAAAUGAUGCCUAGGACCAUGGAGCUUAUAAUGUGAUGUGGGAUAGUGCCCCUUUCCCAGAAGAGGAAUCCAUUAAAACCCUACCAGUUCAUGUAUGGAUGUGUCCCGUUCAGCUCUUCUAAGCAGAGGCAAACAGCUUAUUUCAUGUAGUACAGAGAUUGGAGAGGGUUACCUAGGAGCCAGAACUCCCAUUACAGAGAGUAAAUGAGGAUAAAAGGAAUAUAUGGAAAGAGCCCUUCCUUAGUCUGAGUGGUAGAAUUUGAUAUUGGAAAAUUCCUGGACUGAUAAUCAAAUCAAAAUCCAAUGCAUUAUAGUUAAGUUUUUAGAAACGUCCUGGCUUCACGUAUCUUAAUGAUUAUUCUUUCAUGUGGUCUAGAACGUUGAAAGAAGACUUCUCUGGAUGGCAUUCUAAUUGUACCAAAUUUGAAUCAAUCACUUUAAUGAAAUAAUGCUGUUUGCAGCAACAUGGACAGACCUAGAGAUGAUCAUACUAAGCAAAAAUCGUCUAUAUUUUUUGCCUAUUGAUCUGUUUGAUCCUUGAUGGUUUUCUUACUUCUACUGGAGGCCUUUAUUUGGUAAAGAUAUUUACCACUUAUAUUUGUUGCGAUCUUUUUCCAGCUUCUAGUUGGUCUUUUAAUUUUGUUUAUAGUCUCAUAUAGAUUUCAAGCAUUUUAAUGCUGUUAAAUGUGCUGCUACUUUCCUCUGAGUUUCUGACACUGCUCUUAAAAUUAGGAAGUUAUUUAGGGAGAUAUGCUGCUUGAUCAAUAGAACCUGACAGAUAUGCAACUCUGUUUUUUUCUAUUUAUGGCUUGAUGCUUACAUAUUUAACUCCUCGAUCUACCUACACAUUUUUUUGGCGUAAGGUAGGAAAACAGGAUCUAACUUAUCUUUUUCCCCAAAUAAAAAAACCUGUGGCUUGAGUACUAUAUUGAAUAAUUCCUAUUUUCGUAUAAUUAUUAGUAAGUGAAGUUAUAAUGUCAUCAAGACCCCAUGUUCCUUCUUUAUUGCUGAUCUAGAAAGACCAAUUUUGCCAAGACCUGAAUUGCUUUGGUCUGGAUAUAUUUUGCUCUAUUUUAUUGUUUCUUUGAGGUAAAAAUGGAGGCUAGCUUUUUCCUCCCUUAUAUUACUGAAUAACAAACAAGAGAUCAACUCAUUUGCGUUUGAUAUUAGUGAAUAUUUUGCCUGUUUCACAUUUUGUAAUUUAAUAUCAUUUAAUUUUCACUGGUAGCAAUACGUUUUGAUUUCUGUUUGCAUACACUAGCUAAAACUAGGAAAGUCAAUUGCUUAAAUUACUAAAGGUGAAAUCCUGACUGAUUCUGGCUUUAAAAUAUACUCCUAAAGGGAAGUUCAAAAUUUAAAAAAAUCAAUUCACAAACAGAGAAAAUAAAUAACAGGCAGCCUGUCUACUGAAUUAAAGGACCACAUGAAAUAAAGAGAAGGUGAAUUUUGUCAUGGGAGGAGGGGACAAGAGGGCUGCCUGCCCGAGGACAGAGCCAGAGUGGGGGACGGCCCAGACAUUCCAGAGUCGCUGUGAGAUCCAGGGAGAACCCAGCAGGUCUGUAUUCUGGUAUGCUGCUGGAAGAUUAUCUUUUAAUAUAUUGAAAACCCCAUGGUGAAAACAUUGUCUGCCUCGGGAUACAACACUGGGUUUAAAUAUACUAAAUGAUGCCAAAGAAGGAGCAUAUGCCAAGUGUAUAUGAGCCUUCCACGACCAUUCCUGUAUGUCAGAAUUGAGCACAGGUCCUGGGAAUGAGUAGAAAAAUCAUCCAGUGAAGACAGAGUUAUGUUAUCCAUUGAAUUAUUAAUACACUGUUAAAAUAUUUCACUCUUCACACAGCUGACAUUUUGAGUUCAUUCUUUUACAAAUUAGUAAAGAAGCAAGCCAAAUUGCUCAAGCUAAGUUAUACAAGCUUUUCAAAGGUAAGAGCAGAAAAUGUUCAGAAACUGUUCAGUGAGGGCCCACACUAGCUAGACCAGAAUGUCUCAAUAAAUUAAAGCUAAAGGUAAACAUGCAGCUUAGUUUACCAUGCUUUUGUAAUAAAUAUAAAGUGUUCGUAUUGACGUAUUUUAUGUUCCCGCCCCUCGGGGGAGGAAAAAACCCAUAAAUGUCUGUCCUUAGAAGCAGAGAGUAUCAUGGUAUCGAUAUGACCCAUCACUAAAUGGUAGAGCUAGCCUGGGAAGAAAAUGGAAAAGUUUGGAACAACCUAUGCUUUCACUGGACAUGUAAAACCUCUCCACCUGAUGGUGUCAUUACCAGCAUAAUGGAACACUCUUUGACAAUGCCUAGGGUCUAUUUAAAUAUUGGACCAAGGUGGAGCUGGCCAUGCAGAUGUGCAAUACAGUACAUCUUCAAGUGUCUGCUAUGGGUCUGUCCCCAACCACUGCAAUUAACUGUUGGGACCCUGUGUGGGUCUCACCUCGUCCAUGAGCCUGCAGGGAUGGGGCACUAACCCCUGAAUAUUCCUGCUUCUGGUCUAGCUCCCAACAAGCUCUCCUGUGUACUCACUGAAGAGCAUUCCAGAGGGGCCCACAGUUUAUAGAGGCGCUGUCUGGAAGGUCUCACAGACAUUAAUUUAUAUUGGAAAAAAAGAAAACGAAAACAUUUGGGAGAAUCAUGGCUGCCUUUGUGUACAAAAUAAAAUUUGUUUUUAUUGUUUUGCACUUUAAACAAUAGAUUCUUUUGCAGCUGAACUUUUCGACCUUGAAUUACACUUGAAAAAUGAGCACAAACAGAUUGUGAAAGAUGAUUGCGAGGUUGUGGAAAGUACUGAUGUCAGAAUCAAAAGAACAGAGUUUAAGUUUCUGCUCGUUUAGUUUCUGAAUGUGUGAUCCUGAGCAAGCCACUUGACCCAUAUACAAAAGACGUAAACAAAAUAGAAGGAAAAGUUAAUGUUAAAGAAGAUACAUGCCAACUUUGGGCUGGCCAAAAAGUUCAUUUGGCUUUUCUUCCGUAGGAUGGCUCUAGUAGCUCUUAGUUGUCUUUAACUUCAUUUGAAACUAUUUUGUUAGAUUGUAUGUGACAGCUGUCAUAUCAGCGUGCAUUUAAAAAAACAUCAAAACUGGUGAAUUUUUGUGUAGCCAUUUUAAUACUGAAGAUUGAAGAAGAAAAGCAACAUUUUUGGCAUAUUAUGCUUUAAUAUUUCAAGAAAGGUAAAAACACAACUGAAAUGCAAAAGAUUUGUGCAGUGUAUGGAGAAGGUGCUGUGACCGACUGAACAUGUCAAAAGCGGUUUGCGAAGUUUCGUGCUGGAGAUUUCUCACUGGAGGAUGUCCCACAGAGUUGGGUAGACCAGUUGAAGUUGAUAGCGAUCAAAUCGAGACAUUAAUUGAGAACAAUCAAUGUUAUACCACAUGGGAGAUAGCUGACAUACUGGGAAUAUGCAAAUAAAGCUUUGAAAAUCAUUUGCACCAGCUUGAUUAUGUCAAUUGCCUUGAUGUUUGGGUUCCACAUAAGUUAAGCGAAAACAACCUUCUUGACCGUAUUUCCUCAUGCGAUUCUCUACUUAAACAUAACGAAAACGUUCUGUUUUUAUUUUUUAUUUAUUUUUUAAUUUUAAAAAAAUUUUUUUAAAAUUUUUUAUUUUUUUUGUGGUACGCGAGCCUCUCACUGUUGUGGCCUCUCCCGUUGCGGAGCACAGGCUCCGGACGCGCAGGCUCAGCGGCCAUGACUCACGGGCUCAGCCGCUCCACGGCAUGUGGGAUCUUCCCGGACCGGGGCACGAACCCAUGUCCCCUGCAUCAGCAGGCGGACUCUCAACUACUGCGCCACCAGGGAAGCCCGAAAACGUUCUGUUUUUAAAACAAAUUGUGAUGGGCAGUGAAAAGUGGAUACUGUACAAUAAUGUGGAAUGGAAGAGAUCGUGGGGCAAGCGAGAUGAACCACCACGAACCACACCAAAAGCCGGUCUUCAUCCAAAGAAGGUGAUGUUGUGUGUACGGUGGGAUUGGAAGGGAGUCUUCUAUUAGGAGCUCCUUCCGGAAAACCAAACAACUAAUUCCAACAAGUACUGCUCCCUAUUAGAUCAACUGAAAGCAGCCCUCGAUGAAAAGCGUCCAGAAUUAGUCAACAGAAAAUGCAUAAUCUUCCAUCAGGAUAAUGCAAGACGGCAUGUUUCUUUGACGACCAGGCAAAAACUGUUACAGCUUGGCUGGAAAGUUCUUAUUCAUCUGCUGUACUCACCAGACAUGGCACCUUCGGAUUUCUAUUUAUUUCAGUCUUUACAAAAUUCUCUUAAUGGAAAAAAUUGCAAUUCCCUGGAAGACUCUAAAAGGCACCUGGAACAGUUCUUUGCUCAAAAAGGUGAAAAGUUUUGGGAAGAUGGAAUUAUGAAGUUGCCUGGAAAAUGGCAGAAGGUCAUGGAACAAAAAGGGUAAAUACGUUGUUCAAUAAAGUUC